UCAAAGAGUUGUGUUUAUUUUCAUGACUAUGAAUAUCGUAGCUUCACACUAAACCCAUCAAAACUAUGAAUUAACACAUGUGGAAUUAUAUACUGAACAAAACAGUGUGAAACAACUGAAAAUAUGUCUUAUAUUCUAGGUUCUUCAAAGUAGCCACCUUUUGCUUUAGCAAUAAACAGGUAUAAACGACGUCAUCAUCACCACCAGGCUAUCCCCCAAACCACUGUCUCAUGCCUGGGCAGUGAGCGAUGACAGCAUGGGAUACACCGCAGGCACGGCCAAGUUUAGAUACUGCUUUGAUGGAACAACAGUUUGUCGCCUUCCUCAACUCCAUAGGCAUUGCCCUGGGAUUGAGGAGUACCACCCCUAUGCACCCCGAAUAAGCUAAUUAAUUUCUUAUGGUGCUGCUGAUCUUCGGCUGAUUAGCCUUACCUGGGAGGAGUACUUAGGAGCCAGCCACCAGUCCUUCAGCACCUGAGUGUUGUUGCCCUAGUGAAACCUGUGAGCUGUUGGCUGUUACCUACAGAGCUGGCCUUGGACAUUCUACACCUUCUACUGCUGUUUGUGAAUUUGGAUAAUUCCUCUCUGACUGUGGCACAGUUCCUAACCUUCCUAACACCUGCCUCUGUGAGAACUCUGGACCGAACAUUGGACAAGCUAUUUGGAUUGCCUGACUCCCAGGCCCAGUGGUAUGACCCUCCUGAAUUUCUCUGCUCAAGUGAUCAAUGGACCCGAAGAACCUUCCAACCCUCAUUCCAGUAGAACUCUCAUUGUGUGUUUAAAUAAACCUUUGAAACUUG